CUGGAAAUUUAAAAAUUAUUGAUCAAACGGAACUUGUAUCAAAUAAUUAAAAACAAAACAAAAUUGUUAUUUAUUGCAUGGACAAUCUACAUAGGAUGGUAACAACUUAACACAAACUCAGACUGUUAUUGAUGAACUUUAACUAGCCCUCAAAAAAUGAACGAACAAAUGAAUUUGAAGAUCAUCAAACAUACAUAGAAUAUUUCAAAUGUGACAACCACAACAAAGGUAGAAUACACAAAGCGUGGAAACAAUUACAACACCCUCUACCACCGAGACAAUCUUGAAAACAACGUUGUCAACGAUGAUGGUCAUGGUGGGUAAGUGAAGCCGUUUGCUGCGAAAAGACGACGACAACCUCCGUGGCCACAACUCUUUGCUCAUCUUCUUAAAGGACCAGCUGCUACCACUCUUCUUCUCCAUAUCAAAUGAAACACAAAUCUCAAAUAUCUUCGAAAAGCUCUAAUAAAUUUUUCUUUGGUGUGUGUCGUUCUUUUUUAUUAUUAUUAUUUAGCGGAAUAAAUGUGUAU
rnacentral:lncRNA from 1 species